CCUACGGGAGGCUGCAGUGAGGAAUAUUGGUCAAUGGUCGGGAGACUGAACCAGCCAAGCCGCGUGAGGGAUGAAGGUAUAGAGUAUCGUAAACCUCUUUUGUCAGGGAACAAAGGCGGGGACGUGUCCCCGGAUGAGUGUACCUGAAGAAAAAGCAUCGGCUAACUCCGUUCCAGCAGCCGCGGUAAUACGGAGGAUGCGAGCGUUAUCCGGAUUUAUUGGGUUUAAAGGGUGCGCAGGCGGUCUGUUAAGUCAGCGGUAAAAGCCCGGGGCUCAACCCCGGCCCGCCGUUGAAACUGGCAGUCUCGAGUUGGAGAGAAGUAUGCGGAAUGCGCGGUGUAGCGGUGAAAUGCAGAGAUAUCGCGCAGAACUCCGAUUGCGAAGGCAGCAUGCCGGCUCCACACUGACGCUGAGGCACGAAAGCGUGGGUAUCGAACAGGAUUAGAUACCCUAGUAGUC
rnacentral:rRNA from 1 species